CCCUUAGAUGUUCUGGGCCGCACGCGCGCUACACUGACGAUGGCAACGAGUUUUUCCUUCGCCGAAAGGUGUGGGUAAUCUUUUGAAACAUCGUCGUGCUGGGGAUAGAUCAUUGCAAUUUUUGAUCUUGAACGAGGAAUUCCUAGUAAGCGCGAGUCAUCAGCUCGCGUUGAUUACGUCCCUGCCCUUUGUACACACCGCCCGUCGCUCCUACCGAUUGAGUGUGUUGGUGAGGAGUUUGGAUUGGCCUCGGAAGGUGGUUCGCCACCGUCCGUAGCUGAGAAGUUCUCCAAACCGCCCCACUUAGAGGAAGGAGAAGUCGUAACA
rnacentral:rRNA from 1 species